GACGAACGCUGGCGGCGUGCUUAACACAUGCAAGUCGAACGGAAAGGCGCCUUUGUUGGUACUCGAGUGGCGAACGGGGGAGUAACACGUGCGUAACCUUCCCUUGACUUCGGGAUUAGUUCAGGAAACUGGGGCUAAUACCGGAUAGGGAUCCUUGCUGCAUGGGGGGGGUUGGAAAGCUUCGGGGGUUUUGGAUGGACUCGCGGCGUAUCAGCUUGUUGGUGGGGUAGUGGGUUACCAAGGCGUUGGCGGGUGGCCGGCCUGAGAGGGCGACCGGCCACACUGGGACUGAGAUGCGGCACAGGCACCUACGGGACGCAGCAGUGGGGAAUAUUGCACAAUGGGCGGCAGCCUGAUGCAGCAACGCCGCGUGCGGGAUGACGGCCUUCGGGUUGUAAAACGAUUUCAGCAGGGGCGAAGCUUGUGGUGACGGUACCUGCAGAAGAAGCACCGGCUAACUACGUG
rnacentral:rRNA from 1 species